UACAGAGGGGGCAAGCGUUGUUCGGAAUUACUGGGCGUAAAGGGCGCGUAGGCGGCCUGUUAAGUCGGACGUGAAAUCCCCGGGCUCAACCCGGGAACUGCGUCCGAAACUGGCAGGCUCGAAUUCGGGAGAGGGAUGCGGAAUUCCAGGUGUAGCGGUGAAAUGCGUAGAUAUCUGGAGGAACAUCGAUGGCGAAGGCGGCAUCCUGGACCGAUAUUGACGCUGAGGCGCGAAAGCCAGGGGAGCAAACGGG
rnacentral:rRNA from 1 species